GCCGUUUUGUGAGCCCGCCACCGCAGUUCCAUGUCCAACAUUACUCAGAGAGCCGGUAUCUGCAGGAGCUUUUUGGACUGACUAUACUCUCUGACAUCGUACACGAGGCCUGAGCAACUCAAGGCCCUCGCUCACCAGGAGAUUAACCCGUCAGGCCGCUGAGUGAGAAGGGACGGAGCAGACCCC